UUGAAGUGCAUUUUAGUGUUAUCAAUGUCCGUUUGGGAUUCAGAGUCUGGGAGUAGCUCCGUAUGGUGAUUGUGGUGUUGGGAGCAUGAUUGGAAGUGAAUUUAGAGGUCCGUGGGUCAUUUGGCUAAAGAUAGAAAUUUGAAUGUUUUUGAUAUAGGGGUCAGCUUUUGAUUCCAAAAGUUGGAAUUGGUUAUAAUAUCGAACAUGAAUUGUGUGCAAAGAUUGAGGUCAAUCGGACAUGAUUUGAUAGGUUUAAACAUCGAAAGUCAAAGUUUGAAUUUUUAAAGUUCAUUUAAGCUUGAAUCGGAGUGCGAUUCGUGAUUUUAGCGUUGUUUGAUAUGAUUUAAGGCCUCGAGCAAGUCUGUAAUGUGUUUUCCGACUAGUCGGUAUGAUUAUUUGGGGUCCUGAGGGCCUCGGGUCGAUUCUGGAUGGUUAACGGAUCGAAAAUGGAAUUUUGGAAAAGGUUGAAGUUGCUGGUUGCCGAUGUAACCGUACCUGCAAAACUAGGGUCGCAGGUGCGGAGCCGCAUAAGCGGCCUUCUGUCACGACCCUAGUCCACCAUCCGUGAACACGUCAUGACGACACCCAGUAACGAGGACCAGGGAAUCCUAACACUGCGG
rnacentral:lncRNA from 1 species